UACAGAGGUGGCAAGCGUUGUUCGGAAUUACUGGGCGUAAAGCGUGCGCAGGCGGUUCGCUGUGUCCGAUGUGAAAGCCCCGGGCUUAACCUGGGAAUGGCAUUGGAAACUGGCGGGCUUGAGUGCGGCAGAGGGGGGUGGAAUUCCGCGUGUAGCAGUGAAAUGCGUAGAGAUGCGGAGGAACACCGAUGGCGAAGGCAGCCCCCUGGGUCGACACUGACGCUCAGGCACGAAAGCGUGGGGAGCAAACAGG
rnacentral:rRNA from 1 species